rnacentral:lncRNA from 1 species
GCUGCUCUAGGGUCCCUUCCACGUGCACUCUCCACUUUCAAGAUAGAGUCCUCCUCAUGCUUUUUUGUUAUGCAGCAAUAGAAAACUAAUAUGCCAGGCAAACAGCACAUAAUUUGCCUGACCUAGGCCAUCUCUUAUUAUCUACCUACAUCCUCCUUUUUUCCUCCUCCUCCUAUUCCUCUAUUUAUGUUUUCUACCUCCUUAUAUUUUUAUUUCACUCCGAGAAAUUUCCUUAAUUUUAAAAGUCUAUUAAAAUUUUUUGUUUGUUUUGAGAUGGAGUCUUGCUCUGUCACCCAGGCUGGAGUACAGUGGCACAAUCUCAGCUCACUGCAACCUCCGCCUCCUGGGUUCAAGCGAUUCUCCUGCCUCAGCCUGCUGACUAGAGUUCUGCUCUGGGAGGCAGAACCUGGCUCUAGUGUGGUAUAAUAUUGCUGAGUCAGUUUCCCAUUCUGUGCCUCAGUUUCCUCAUCUGCACAAUGAAAGGAUUCCUUCUAAUUCCUUCAGGUUAGGAGACGCCUCAUUUCUGGGAGGAAUUAGAGGCAAAAAUCAAGGCAGGGAAUUUCUGGCCUGCCUUGGCCUUGGCUCCCUGGAAUCCAGAACUCUGGCC